UAACGAGUUCUGAAAGGGGUUGUAGCUGGCCUUCCGGGGCAUGUGCACACCCUGCUCAUCCACUCUACACCUGUGCACUUACUGUAGGUUUGGCGUGGGCUUCGGGGCCUCCGGGCUCUGAGGCAUUCUGCCGGCCUAUGUAUCACUACAAACACAUAAAGUAACAGAAUGUAUUCGCGUCUAACGCAUCUAAAUACAACUUUCAGCAACGGAUCUCUUGGCUCUCGCAUCGAUGAAGAACGCAGCGAAAUGCGAUAAGUAAUGUGAAUUGCAGAAUUCAGUGAAUCAUCGAAUCUUUGAACGCACCUUGCGCUCCUUGGUAUUCCGAGGAGCAUGCCUGUUUGAGUGUCAUGGAAUUCUCAACCCACACGUCCUUGUGAUGUUGCGGGCUUGGAUUUGGAGGCUUGCUGGCCCUCUGCGGUCGGCUCCUCUUGAAUGCAUUAGCUUGAUUCCGUGCGGAUCGGCUCUCAGUGUGAUAAUUGUCUACGCUGUGACCGUGAAGCGUUUGGCGAGCUUCUAACCGUCCUGUAUGGGACAACUUCUUGACAUCUGACCUCAAAUCAGGUAGGACUACCCGCUGAACUUAAGCAUAUCAAUAAGCGGAGGAAAAGAAACUAACAAGGAUUCCCCUAGUAACUGCGAGUGAAGCGGGAAAAGCUCAAAUUUAAAAUCUGGCGGUCUUUGGCCGAGUUGUAGUCUGGAGAAGUGCUUUCCGCGCUGGACCGUGUAUAAGUCUCUUGGAACAGAGCGUCAUAGAGGGUGAGAAUCCUCUUUGACACGGACUACCAGUGCUUUGUGAUGCGCUCUCAAAGAGUCGCGUUGUUUGGGGAAUGCAGCGCAAAA
rnacentral:rRNA from 1 species